rnacentral:tRNA from 1 species
GGACCCGUAGCAUAGCUGGUUAAUGCUUUGUGCUUAUAUCCACGUAACCCUACGUUCAUAUGAUUCGCAAGGAUCGGGAGUUCGAUCCUCCCCGGGUCCA